rnacentral:rRNA from 1 species
UUGAACGCUGGCGGCAGGCUACACAUGCAAGUCGAACGGUAACAGGAAGAAGCUUGCUUCUUUGCUGACGAGUGGCGGACGGGUGAGUAAUGUCUGGGAAACUGCCUGAUGGAGGGGGAUAACUACUGGAAACGGUAGCUAAUACCGCAUAACGUCGCAAGACCAAAAAGGGGGACCUUCGGGCCUCUUGCCAUCGGAUGUGCCCAGAUGGGAUUAGCUAGUAGGUGGGGUAACGGCUCACCUAGGCGACGAUCCCUAGCUGGUCUGAGAGGAUGACCAGCCACACUGGAACUGAGACACGGUCCAGACUCCUACGGGAGGCAGCAGUGGGGAAUAUUGCACAAUGGGCGCAAGCCUGAUGCAGCCAUGCCGCGUGUAUGAAGAAGGCCUUCGGGUUGUAAAGUACUUUCAGCGGGGAGGAAGGGAGUAAAGUUAAUACCUUUGCUCAUUGACGUUACCCGCAGAAGAAGCACCGGCUAACUCCGUGCCAGCAGCCGCGGUAAUACGGAGGGUGCAAGCGUUAAUCGGAAUUACUGGGCGUAAAGCGCACGCAGGCGGUUUGUUAAGUCAGAUGUGAAAUCCCCGGGCUCAACCUGGGAACUGCAUCUGAUACUGGCAAACUUGAGUCUCGUAGAGGGGGGUAGAAUUCCAGGUGUAGCGGUGAAAUGCGUAGAGAUCUGGAGGAAUACCGGUGGCGAAGGCGGNCCCCUGGACGAAGACUGACGCUCAGGCGCGAAAGCGUGGG